rnacentral:rRNA from 1 species
UACGUAGGGGGCGAGCGUUGUCCGGAUUUAUUGGGCGUAAAGCGCGGGCAGGCGGCCCGGUAAGUCGGCCGUGAAAGCGCCGGGCUCAACUCGGCGAGGACGGGCGAGACUGCAGGGCUGGAGCAAGGCAGAGGGCGGUGGAAUUCCGGGUGUAGUGGUGGAAUGCGUAGAGCUCCGGAGGAACACCAGUGGCGAAGGCGGCUACCUGGCUUAAUACUGACACUGAGGCACGAAAGCGUGGGGAGCAAACAGG